GAUGAACGCUGGCGGCGUGCUUAACACAUGCAAGUCGAACGAGAAAUGUAGACGGAAACCUUCGGGCGGAAGCCUUCAUUUCGAGUGGCGGACGGGUAAGUAACGCGCGGGUAACCUGCCACAUAUAGGGGGAUAACAGUUGGAAACGACUGUUAAUACCGCAUAAGACCACAGCAUCGCAUGAUGCGGGGGUAAAAACUCCGGUGGUAUGAGAUGGACCCGCGUUCGAUUAGCCAGUUGGCGGGGUAACGGCCCACCAAAGCGACGAUCGAUAGCCGAUCUGAGAGGAUGACCGGCCACAUUGGGACUGAGACACGGCCCAAACUCCUACGGGAGGCAGCAGUGGGGAAUAGUGCACAAUGGGGGAAACCCUGAUGCAGCGACGCCGCGUGAGUGAAGAAGUACUUCGAGAUGUAAAGCUCUAUCAGCAGGGAAGAAAAUGACGGUACCUGAGUAAGAAGCCCCGGCUAACUACGUG
rnacentral:rRNA from 1 species